rnacentral:rRNA from 1 species
UACGGGGGGGCAAGCGUUGUUCGGAAUUACUGGGCGUAAAGAGCUCGUAGGCGGUCUGUCGCGUCUGCUGUGAAAACUCAGGGCUUAACCCUGAGCUUGCAGUGGGUACGGGCAGACUAGAGUGCGGUAGGGGAGACUGGAAUUCCUGGUGUAGCGGUGAAAUGCGCAGAUAUCAGGAGGAACACCGGUGGCGAAGGCGGGUCUCUGGGCAACAACUGACGCUGAGGAGCGAAAGCGUGGGGAGCGAACAGG